GACGAACGCUGGCGGCGUGCCUAAUACAUGCAAGUCGAACGCUCCUUUCCUCCCGAGUGCUUGCACUCAAUUGGAAAGAGGAGUGGCGGACGGGUGAGUAACACGUGGGUAACCUACCCAUCAGAGGGGGAUAACACUUGGAAACAGGUGCUAAUACCGCAUAACAGUUUAUGCCGCAUGGCAUAAGAGUGAAAGGCGCUUUCGGGUGUCGUUGAUGGAUGGACCCGCGGUGCAUUAGCUAGUUGGUGAGGUAACGGCUCACCAAGGCCACGAUGCAUAGCCGACCUGAGAGGGUCAUCGGCCACACUGGGACUGAGACACGGCCCAGACUCCUACGGGAGGCAGCAGUAGGGAAUCUUCGGCAAUGGACGAAAGUCUGACCGAGCAACGCCGCGUGAGUGAAGAAGGUUUUCGGAUCGUAAAACUCUGUUGUUAGAGAAGAACAAGGACGUUAGUAACUGAACGUCCCCUGACGGUAUCUAACCAGAAAGCCACGGCUAACUACGUG
rnacentral:rRNA from 1 species